rnacentral:ncRNA from 1 species
UAAAUUGAGAGUUUGAUCCUGGCUCAGGACGAACGCUGGCGGCGUGCUUAACACAUGCAAGUCGAGCGGGGAACUUCGGUUCCCAGCGGCGGACGGGUG